rnacentral:sRNA from 1 species
UGUAUUACAUAUAUAUUUGAUGGGAAAAAGGUUGAAUUGCGUUUUUGGCGGGAAAAUGUUAAAUUGCGUUUUUGGCGGGAAACAUGUCAAAUCCUUUUCUUGGCCGGAAAUGUUGAAUGUCGUUUUUGGCGGGAAAAUGUUAAAUUGCGUUUUUUGCGAGAAAAUGUGAAAUCAUUUUUGGCGGAAAAUGUUGAAUCGAGUUUUUGGCGGGAAAUUGUUGAAUUGCGUUUUGGCGGGAAAAUGUUGAAUGUCGUUUUUGGCGCGAAAAUGUUGAAUUUCGUUGUGGCGGGAAAAUGUUGAUUGUCGUUUUUGGCGGAAAAAUGUUGAAUGUCUUUUUUGGCGGUAAACUGUUAAAUCGCGGUUUAGGGGAAAAAAUGUGAAAUCUUUUUUGACAAGAAAAUGUUGAUUCACUUGAAAAAGUACUUAAAAAAACUCGUGGGUACCCAUAACCCAAUGAAGUAAACCCAUAUGAGUUUUAUUUAUUUGGGUACCCAGCCCAAUUUAAACCUGUGUUUUUUUUCCAGAAAAAGUAGAUCUAUGAGCUUAAAAUUUUAUGUGGGUUUUGAGUACCCAGUGAGUUUUAACCCAUCAUUAACAUCUCUACGUCCAAGUUAUAAACUUUUAUGGUAUCUCAAGUCCUUUUGAAUCUCUCAUAAACCCUUUUUGCCAAUUGGUAACACAUGUGAUGUGUAUUGGCU